ACAAGAAAUAGGCCGAACCACCUUGGCAAGCAGUGCAAAAUGAACUGCUGCAAAAUAUCUCCCUCAUUUGGACGCAGCUGCUUCCAAGUACGCAUACCAGAAGGCAUGGAGUGUAUGAAAGGAAAGACAUGCAGAAAAGGAAGGUGUGCCGUGCAUAACUGGUCAUAAUGGAGUGCAAGAUCGCUAACCAGUUUCUGUGCCUGUACACAAAACAAAGGUUUCUG